UAGUCAUAUGCUUGUCUCAAAGAUUAAGCCAUGCACGUGUAAGAUCGUCUUGAAUAGCAAUAUUUACCGGCAAUCUGUGGAAAGCUCAUUAUAACAGUUACAAACUUGGCUUUCUAGCUUAAAGUUAAAAGGAUAACACAGUCAAAUGCAGUGAUAAUACUUGAACCAAAGCUAAUGAAUUGUAUAGUUAGCGAAUAAUAGCGAAUAAGGGAAAAUACGCUAUAGUAUCUUCGGAUCGAUUGACCUCUUUAGAGGCCUAGGAGAAGUAUUUCUUACUUAUCAUGCUAGUUGUUUCAGUAAGGGUGAAACAAGGCCGUCACGGGAACGGAAAAUUAGGGUUUGACUCCGGAGAGGGGGCUUGAGAAUUGGCCACCACAUCUAAGGUGAGUUUAUCUUAUUUCACUUCUUUCCAUCCUUUUGAGCUCUUAAUUUGGGCCGCAGCAAGGACUCUCCCAAUGAGGACAGCGCGAUCUGAAAAACUUUGAACUAACUUAAUUCCAAAAAUCAGGAAGGCAGCAGGCGCGCAAAUUCCCCAAUCCAGACAAUGGGAGGGAGUGACAAGAAAUAUUGAAGGCGGGGCGCAAGCCUUGCUUAUCGGAAUGAGAACAACUUGAUGAACUUAUCGAGUAACAAUU
rnacentral:rRNA from 1 species